CCUACGGGUGGCAGCAGUGAGGAAUAUUGGUCAAUGGACGGAAGUCUGAACCAGCCAUGCCGCGUGCAGGAAGACGGCUCUAUGAGUUGUAAACUGCUUUUGUACAAGGGUAAACCUGAAUACGUGUAUUCAGCUGAAAGUACUGUACGAAUAAGGAUCGGCUAACUCCGUGCCAGCAGCCGCGGUAAUACGGAGGAUCCAAGCGUUAUCCGGAUUUAUUGGGUUUAAAGGGUGCGCAGGCGGAUUGAUAAGUUAGAGGUGAAAUGUCCGAGCUUAACUCGGGAACUGCAUCGAAUACUGUUGAUCGAGAGAGUAGAUGAGGGAGGCGGAAUGGAUGGUGUAGCGGUGAAAUGCUUAGAGAUCAUACAGAACACCGAUUGCGAAGGCAGCCUACCAAUCUAUAUCUGACGUUGAGGCACGAAAGCGUGGGGAGCAAACAGGAUUAGAUACCCUAGUAGUC
rnacentral:rRNA from 1 species